UACGGAGGGUGCAAGCGUUAUCCGGAUUCACUGGGUUUAAAGGGUGCGUAGGCGGGCAGGUAAGUCCGUGGUGAAAUCUCUGAGCUUAACUCAGAAACUGCCAUGGAUACUAUUUGUCUUGAAUAUUGUGGAGGUAAGCGGAAUAUGUCAUGUAGCGGUGAAAUGCUUAGAUAUGACAUAGAACACCAAUUGCGAAGCAGCUUACUACCCGAAUAUUGACACUGAGGCACGAAAAGCGUGGGGAUCAAACAGG
rnacentral:rRNA from 1 species